GCAAUGGGGGAAAACCUGAUGCAGCAACGCCGCGUGAGUGAUGAAGGCCUUCGGGUCGUAAAGGUCUGUCGGGAGGGAAGAAGUGAUAUUGGGUUAAUACCCAGAAUUCAUGACGGUACCUGAGAAGGAAGCACCGGCUAACUCCGUGCCAGCAGCCGCGGUAAUACGGAGGGUGCGAGCGUUGUUCGGAAUUAUUGGGCGUAAAGCGCGUGUAGGCGGUUUGUUAAGUCUGAUGUGAAAUCCCCGGGCUCAACCUGGGAAGUGCAUUGGAAACUGGCGGACUUGAGUACGGCAGAGGGGAGUGGAAUUCCGAGUGUAGGAGUGAAAUCCGUAGAUAUUCGGAGGAACACCGGUGGCGAAGGCGGCUACCUGGACCGAUAUUGACGCUGAGACGCGAAAGCGUGGGUAGCAAACAGGAUUAGAUACCCUGGUAGUCCACGCCGUAAACGAUGAGUACUAGGUGUUGCGGGUAUUGAC
rnacentral:rRNA from 1 species